AGUGAACGCUGGCGGCGUGCUUAACACAUGCAAGCCGAACGAGAACGGGUUAUAGCUUGCUAUAAUUGUCAGCUAAGUGGCGCACGGGUGAGUAAUGUAUAGGUAAUAUGCCUCUUACUAAGGGAUAACAAUUGGAAACGAUUGCUAAUACCUUAUACUCCUUAUUAACUAAAGUUAGUAAGGGAAAGAUUUAUUGGUAAGAGAUUAGCCUGUAUUGUAUCAGUUAGUUGGUGGGGUAAUGGCCUACCAAGACUAUGACGCAUAACUGGUUUGAGAGGAUGAUCAGUCACACUGGAACUGAGACACGGUCCAGACUCCUACGGGAGGCAGCAGUGGGGAAUAUUGCACAAUGGACGAAAGUUUGAUGCAGCAACGCCGCGUGGAGGAUGACACAUUUCGGUGCGUAAACUCCUUUUAUAUAAGAAGAUAAUGACGGUAUUAUAUGAAUAAGCACCGGCUAACUCCGUGCCAGCAGCCGCGGUAAAGUCG
rnacentral:rRNA from 1 species